CCUACAUGUCAAUGCACAAGUCGCUCUGGAUAAGAGCGUCUGCUAAAUGACUUAAA
rfam:Salmo salar isolate Sally breed double haploid chromosome ssa11, whole genome shotgun sequence.